rnacentral:rRNA from 1 species
AACGAACGCUAGCGGGAUGCCUCAAACAUGCAAGUCGAACGCGAAAGGCCCUUCGGGGACGAGUAGAGUGGCGCACGGGUGCGUAACACGUAGCUAACGUACCCCUUCGCUGGGGAUAACUUCGGGAAACCGAAGCUAAUACCGAAUGAUCUGAUACGGUCUGCGGACUGUAUCGGUAAAGCCUACGGGCGCGAAGGGAUCGGGCUGCGUCCCAUUAGCUUGAUGGUGGGGUAAUGGCCUACCAUGGCGACGAUGGGUAGCUGGUCUGAGAGGAUGAUCAGCCACACUGGAACUGAAACACGGUCCAGACUCCCACGGGAGGCAGCAGUUGGGAAUAUUGGACAAUGGGGGAAACCCUGAUCCAGCAAUCCCGCGUGAGUGAUGAAGGCCCUCGGGUCGUAAAGCUCUUUCAGCAGGGAAGAAUCACUGACGGUACCUGCAGAAGAAGCACCGGCUAAC